rnacentral:rRNA from 1 species
AACACAUGCAAGUCGAACGGACAAUUGUUUAUAUCUUUGGUAUAAAUAAUUGUUAGUGGCAGACGGGUGAGUAAUGCGUAGGAAUCUACCUAGUAGUAUGGAAUAGCCAUUAGAAAUGAUGGGUAAUACUGUAUAAUCCCUGCGGGGGAAAGAUUUAUCGCUAUUAGAUGAGCCUACGUUAGAUUAGCUAGUUGGUAAGGUAAUGGCUUACCAAGGCUAUGAUCUAUAGCUGGUCUGAGAGGACGAUCAGCCACACUGGAACUGAGAUACGGUCCAGACUCCUACGGGAGGCAGCAGUGGGGAAUAUUGGACAAUGGGCGAAAGCCUGAUCCAGCUAUGCCGCGUGAGUGAAGAAGGCCUUCGGGUUGUAAAGCUCUUUCAAUAGGGAAGAUAAUGAC